UACGGAGAGGGCAAGCGUUGUUCGGAUUUAUUGGGCGUAAAGCGCGUGCAGGCGGUUCAGUAAGUCAGAUGUUAAAGACCCACGGCUCACCCGGGGGCCUGCGUCUGAUACUGCUGGACUAGAGUGCGAAAGAGGAGAGCGGAAUUCCUGGUGUAGCGGUGAAAUGCGUAGAUAUCAGGAGGAACACCCGUGGCGAAGGCGGCUCUCUGGUUCGCAACUGACGCUGAGACGCGAAAGCGUGGGGAGCGAACGGG
rnacentral:misc_RNA from 1 species